rnacentral:rRNA from 1 species
ACUCCUACGGGAGGCAGCAGUGGGGAAUAUUGCACAAUGGGCGCAAGCCUGAUGCAGCCAUGCCGCGUGUAUGAAGAAGGCCUUCGGGUUGUAAAGUACUUUCAGCAGUGAGGAAGGUGGGUAUGUUAAUAGCAUACUCAUUUGACGUUAGCUGCAGAAGAAGCACCGGCUAACUCCGUGCCAGCAGCCGCGGUAAUACGGAGGGUGCGAGCGUUAAUCGGAAUUACUGGGCGUAAAGCGCAUGCAGGUGGUUUGUUAAGUCAGAUGUGAAAGCCCGGGGCUCAACCUCGGAAUUGCAUUUGAAACUGGCAAACUAGAGUACUGUAGAGGGGGGUAGAAUUUCAGGUGUAGCGGUGAAAUGCGUAGAGAUCUGAAGGAAUACCGGUGGCGAAGGCGGCCCCCUGGACAGAUACUGACACUCAGAUGCGAAAGCGUGGGGAGCAAACAGGAUUAGAUACCCUGGUAGCGUUG